rnacentral:rRNA from 1 species
AAAUUGAAGAGUUUGAUCAUGGCUCAGAUUGAACGCUGGCGGCAGGCCUAACACAUGCAAGUCGAACGGUAACAGGAAACAGCUUGCUGUUUCGCUGACGAGUGGCGGACGGGUGAGUAAUGUCUGGGAAACUGCCUGAUGGAGGGGGAUAACUACUGGAAACGGUAGCUAAUACCGCAUAACGUCGCAAGACCAAAGAGGGGGACCUUCGGGCCUCUUGCCAUCGGAUGUGCCCAGAUGGGAUUAGCUAGUAGGUGGGGUAACGGCUCACCUAGGCGACGAUCCCUAGCUGGUCUGAGAGGAUGACCAGCCACACUGGAACUGAGACACGGUCCAGACUCCUACGGGAGGCAGCAGUGGGGAAUAUUGCACAAUGGGCGCAAGCCUGAUGCAGCCAUGCCGCGUGUAUGAAGAAGGCCUUCGGGUUGUAAAGUACUUUCAGCGGGGAGGAAGGGAGUAAAGUUAAUACCUUUGCUCAUUGACGUUACCCGCAGAAGAAGCACCGGCUAACUCCGUGCCAGCAGCCGCGGUAAUACGGAGGGUGCAAGCGUUAAUCGGAAUUACUGGGCGUAAAGCGCACGCAGGCGGUUUGUUAAGUCAG